GACGAACGCUGGCGGCGUGCUUAACACAUGCAAGUCGAACGGAAAGGCGCUGCUUUUGCGGGGUGCUCGAGUGGCUAAUGUGUGAGUAACACGUGGGUAACCUGCCCUUGAUAUUGGGACACCUUCAGGAAACUGGGGCUAAUACCGGAUUGUUGCUCCUGCUGAAUGGCGGGGGACGGCAAGUUUCGGCGGUUGGGGAUGGACUCGCGGCUUAUGAGCUUGCUGGCGGGGUAGUGGCUUACCAAGUCUUUGACGGGCAGACGGCCUGACAGGGGAACCGGCCACACUGGGACGGGAAUACGGCACGGACUCCUACGGGAGGCAACGGUGGGGAAGAGUACACAAUGGGCGGGAGGCUGAUGCGACGACGCGGCGUGCGGGAUGACAGGCUGCGGGUUGGUAACCGCUGUCGCCUGAGAAGAGGAGAGAGUGACGGUAAUGGGUAAAGAAGCACCGGCUAACUACGUG
rnacentral:rRNA from 1 species